AACGCACAUUGCGCCCCUCGGUACUCCGGGGGGCAUGCCUGUCCGAGCGUCAUUGAAAACCAUCAAGCCUGGCUUGGUCUUGGGCGCGGUCUUAGGACUCGCCCGCAACCCGUCGGCGGUGCCGUUCGGCCCUGAGCGUAGCAAAACCUUUCGCUCGAGGGUCGCGGCGGUGCCCGCUAGGAGCAUACUCUUCAAGUUUGACCUCGGAUCAGGUAGGGAUACCCGCUGAACUUAA
rnacentral:misc_RNA from 1 species